UCUGGUUUCUAAAUCUAGACUUGUACUCAAUUUCCAGCCAAAGCAUGUUACUUUCCAACUCCUUCAAAAGUCACGGGAAAUAUAAAGGUACAAGGACAUCAUCAAAUAAAUCCAUUCCACAGGUAAUUGUGUUCCUUACAACUGCCUAACAAUGUUUUAAGAGGAUUAAGGCACAAAAUGAGGUGAGGCGUAAACUCUUAGGCAUUAUGAGGUGUAACCCUCAUUUUAAAUAGAAAAAAAUAAAUAAACAGUGUAAAAACAUAAAAUAUUAUGUUCCAAAUAUUGCAGUAUUCAUAUAAAAGUUUAAAAUACAUCAUUUGUUUAAUUGGAACGAAACAUGAUAUCUAAAAAACUAGAGAAAUAUUUUUUUAAAAAAGAGAGAGAGAGAGAGAGAGAGAGAGAAAACUUUAAAAAGUUAGAAAAAAAUACUGAAAAAAACACAUUGGUUCUUUUUAAUUAGAAGUUAGAAAAAAGAAUAUUUAACAAAAUCAAGAAACUUGUACUCCUUAAAAAAAAAAAAAAUUAAAAAUUAAACCACAAACAGUAGUAAAAGGGUAGAUUGAAAAGGCGAAGGUAGUGGUCUGGCAUCACAGAAAAGACAAAAAAGAAAGAAAAAAACUGAAAAGAAAACGGUGCAAUAAAUAAUAAACAAAAGAAAAGAAGGUUGAACUCAUUAAAUAAUGCACUACCACCGCCAAAAGCCACCACAGCUAGGAAUUUGUAGAGGUGUUGGAGCUUCAGUUGAGGCUUACGCAUUUCAACCUCAAAACGUAAGGG